UACGUAGGGUGCAAGCGUUAAUCGGAAUUACUGGGCGUAAAGGGUGCGUAGGCGGUUGCUUAAGUCUGUCGUGAAAUCCCCGGGCUCAACCUGGGAAUGGCGAUGGAUACUGGGCAGCUAGAGUGUGUCAGAGGAUGGUGGAAUUCCCGGUGUAGCGGUGAAAUGCGUAGAGAUCGGGAGGAACAUCAGUGGCGAAGGCGGCCAUCUGGGACAACACUGACGCUGAAGCACGAAAGCGUGGGGAGCAAACAGG
rnacentral:rRNA from 1 species